GCUGGGUGCAGUGGUGAGUGCCUGUAGUCCCAGCUACUCUGGAGACUGAGGCAGGAGGAUUGUCUAAGUCUAGGAGUUCUGGGCUGUAGUGUACUAUGCCUAUCAGGUGUCCACACUAAGUUUGGCAUCAACAUGGUAACCUCCCGGAAGCAAGGGAGCACCAGGUUGCCUAAGGAGGGGUGAACAGGCCCAGGUCAGAAACAGAGCAGGUCAAAUACUCCCAUGCUGAUCAGUAAUGAGAUCACACCUGUGAAUAACCCCUGCACUCCAGCCUGGGCAACAAAGAGAAACCCCCAUGUCUA
rfam:Homo sapiens chromosome X, GRCh38 reference primary assembly.